rnacentral:rRNA from 1 species
CUGCGGAGGAUCAUUAAUGAAUUUUAGGACUCUCUUUUUAGAGGUCCGACCCUUUCAUUUCCUUACACUGUGCACACACUUCUUUUCACACAUUUUAACACUAUAGUAUAAGAAUGUAACAGUCUCUUUAUUGAGCAUAAAUAAAAAUAAAACUUUCAGCAACGGAUCUCUUGGCUCUCGCAUCGAUGAAGAACGCAGCGAAUUGCGAUAAGUAAUGUGAAUUGCAGAAUUCAGUGAAUCAUCGAAUCUUUGAACGCACCUUGCACUCUUUGGUAUUCCGAAGAGUAUGUCUGUUUGAGUGUCAUGAAACUCUCAACCCCCCUAUUUUGUAAUGAGAUGGGCGUGGGCUUGGAUUAUGACUGCUGUCGGCGUAAUUGCCGGCUCAGUUGAAAUACACGAGCAACCCAUUUGAAAUAAACGGCUUGACUCGGCGUAAUAAUUAUUUCGCUGAGGACGUUUUCUUCAAAAGUAAGAGGUGCUUCUAAUGCGCUUUUAUAGCUUUUAUAUUUUAGACCUCAAAUCAGUCAGGACUACCCGCUGAACUUAAGCAUAUCAAUAAGCGGAGGAAAAGAAACUAACAAGGAUUCCCCUAGUAACGGCGAGUGAAGUGGGAAAAGCUCAACUUUGAAAUCUGGUACUUUCAGUAUCCGAAUUGUAGUCUCAAGAAGUGUUUUCUGUGCUGGUCCAUGUAUGAGUCUGUUGGAACACAGCGUCAUAGAG